rnacentral:rRNA from 1 species
UACAGAGGUCUCAAGCGUUGUUCGGAUUCAUUGGGCGUAAAGGGUGUGUAGGUGGCGCCGUAAGUCGGGUGUGAAAUUUCGGAGCUUAACUCCGAAACUGCAUUCGAUACUGCCGUGCUUGAGGACUGGAGAGGAGACUGGAAUUUACGGUGUAGCGGUGAAAUGCGUAGAUGUCGUAAGGAAGACCAGUGGCGAAGGCGGGUCUCUGGACAGUUCCUGACGCUGAGGCACGAAGGUCAGGGGAGCAAACGGG